ACGGAGGGUGCAAGCGUUAUCCGGAUUCACUGGGUUUAAAGGGUGCGUAGGUGGGUUGGUAAGUCAGUGGUGAAAUCCCCGAGCUUAACUUGGGAACUGCCAUUGAUACUAUCAGUCUUGAAUACCGUGGAGGUCAGCGGAAUAUGUCAUGUAGCGGUGAAAUGCUUAGAUAUGACAUAGAACACCAAUUGCGAAGGCAGCUGGCUACUCGGAUAUUGACACUGAGGCACGAAAGCGUGGGGAUCAAACAG
rnacentral:rRNA from 1 species